rnacentral:misc_RNA from 1 species
UGUGAWCAAAUGCGAGUACCUCCCUCGGCGGCCUUGGCCGUCCUCGUAGCCGCAUCCUGGARASUAGCAUGGGUCAUGGRUUUGCCUUUCACCUGUUGAAUGGGACAAGCAUGCAAAGCGUUACGUCGACCUCUGUGYGGCUGUCCUCUUGGAYWCGAUCACAUGGGUUGUUUGAGAUCAAAACAGGUGYCUAGGCACCAAUUGGUCUGAUUCUCAAACAUA